rnacentral:tRNA from 1 species
GCCGGGAUAGUCUAGCUUGGUAAGGCGCAAGACUGGAAAUCUUGUGAGGAUUGUCCUCGCCUGGGUUCAAAUCCCAGUCCCGGCG